rnacentral:sRNA from 1 species
GGGCGGGGCCCGGGAGGUGCUGACACUGCAGUUGGGACAUUUUGCCGGUUUCGUGGGCGCGCACUGGUGGAACCAGCAGGUGAGGUCAGCCGGCAGCUGCCCCCGAGGAGCCCUUCGGGAUCUACAGUCCCGACGAUCAGCCGGCCUGCCUCGUCCUCUCUGCUUCCCCAGGAUGCUGCGCUGGGCCGAGCGACCGAUUCCAAGGAGCCCCCGGGAGAGCUGUGCCCCGACGUCCUGUAUCGUACGGGCCGGACGCUGCACGGCCAGGAGACCUACACGCCGCGACUCAUCCUCAUGGAUCUGAAGGGUAGUUUGAGCUCCCUAAAAGAGGAAGGUGGACUCUACAGGGACAAACAGUUGGAUGCUGCAAUAGCAUGGCAGGGGAAACUCACCACACACAAAGAGGAACUCUAUCCCAAGAACCCUUAUCUCCAAGACUUUCUGAGUGCAGAGGGAGUGCUGAGUAGUGAUGGUGUUUGGAGGGUCAAAUCCAUUCCCAAUGGCAAAGGUUCCUCACCACUCACCACCGCUACAACUCCAAAACCACUUAUCCCUACAGAGGCCAGCAUCAGGGUCUGGUCAGACUUCCUCAGAGUCCAUCUCCAUCCCCGGAGCAUCUGUAUGAUUCAGAAGUACAACCACGAUGGGGAAGCAGGUCGGCUGGAGGCUUUUGGCCAAGGGGAAAGUGUCCUAAAGGAACCCAAGUACCAGGAAGAGCUGGAGGACAGGCUGCACUUCUACGUGGAGGAAUGUGACUACUUGCAGGGCUUCCAGAUCCUGUGUGACCUGCACGAUGGCUUCUCUGGGGUAGGCGCGAAGGCGGCAGAGCUGCUACAAGAUGAAUAUUCAGGGCGGGGAAUAAUAACUUGGGGCCUGCUACCUGGUCCCUACCAUCGUGGGGAGGCCCAGAGAAACAUCUAUCGUCUAUUAAACACAGCUUUUGGUCUCGUGCACCUGACUGCUCA